GCGCAGCAGUCGAGAAUUUUCACAAUGGGGGAAACCCUGAUGGAGCGACGCCGCGUGGAGGAUGAAGGCCCUCGGGUCGUAAACUCCUGUCAUGCGGGAACAAGAAAGUGAUAGUACCGCAAGAGGAAGAGACGGCUAACUCUGUGCCAGCAGCCGCGGUAAUACAGAGGUCUCAAGCGUUAUUCGGAUUCAUUGGGCGUAAAGAGUGCGUAGGUGGAGAUGUAAGUCUGGUGUGAAAUCUCGGGGCUUAACCCCGAAACUGCAUUGGAUACUGCGUUGCUUGAGGAUUGUAGAGGAGAGUGGAAUUCACGGUGUAGCAGUGAAAUGCGUAGAUAUCGUGAGGAAGACCAGUUGCGAAGGCGACUCUCUGGGCAAUUCCUGACACUGAGGCACGAAGGCCAGGGGAGCAAACGGGAUUAGAUACCCGGGUAGU
rnacentral:rRNA from 1 species